UACGUAGGGGGCAAGCGUUGUCCGGAAUCAUUGGGCGUAAAGCGCGUGUAGGCGGCUCGGUUAGUCCGCUGUGAAAGUCCGGGGCUCAACCCCGGGAGGCGGGUGGAUACUGUCGAGCUAGAGUCCGGAAGGGGCGAGUGGAAUUCCUGGUGUAGCGGUGAAAUGCGCAGAUAUCAGGAGGAACACCAAUGGCGAAGGCAGCUCGCUGGGACGGUACUGACGCUGAGACGCGAAGGCGUGGGGAGCAAACAGG
rnacentral:rRNA from 1 species